UUACGGCCAUACCACUAUGGAACAUCGGUUUUCGUGCGAUCACCGAAGUUAAGCAACCUCGAGCCUAGUCAGCACCUAAAUGGGUGACCGCUUGGGAGGGUGCUG